UGAGAACACAAAAAGGAAAAACUAAUAUUAUUGAUUCUGAAAAAGUUAGUCUUUAAUACAGUUACAAAGGAGGUAUUUAUAAACCUCUAGACCUUGAAGCUAAUCACAACCUAACUAACAACUAACUAACAAAAAGUUUGUUAAACUAACUAACAGAAUUCUGUUAGUGAAAGAAAAAUAGUUAGUUGUCUAACUGUCAUGUAAUAAUUGUUUGUAAUAGUUAUUUUUAUACAUUCAUUCUAAU
rnacentral:lncRNA from 1 species